rnacentral:rRNA from 1 species
GACGUAGGGUCCGAGCGUUGUCCGGAUUUACUGGGCGUAAAGAGCGCGUAGGCGGCCCGUUAAGUGAGGAGUGAAAGCUCCGGGCUCAACCCUGGAAAGCGGGUGGAUACUGCCGGGCUAGAAUCCGGAAGAGGCGAGUGGAAUUCCUGGUGUAGCGGUGGAAUGCGCAGAUAUCAGGAGGAACACCAAUAGCGAAGGCAGCUCGCUGGGACGGUAUUGACGCUGAGGCGCGAAAGCGUGGGGAGCAAACAGG